GGUUAAUUGGCUGUAUGCAACCAGGAAGAGGGUGCCUCUCGCCAGACCGCAACACUGCUGGCACUCUGCUCUGGCCUCCAGAACUGAUAUUUUACCAAAUGCUUCACUCCACCCAGCCCUGCUACAAAGCCCUGCUGAGUUGACACAGGAGGAAUCUGAGGCCCAGGGAACAGAGUUACCUCUCUCACGGGUUCUGGCAUGAGAAGAAGCUAAAGCAGGAACCCGAGGGCUGGCCACAGGGCUGAGGACAAGCAGAGGGCACCUGGUGCCCAGGCCUCCCUCUAAGGACUGCCUGCCAAGCUCCAGGCCUCCUGAACCAGGACGGGUCAGGGCACAUGCAAGAAGUCAAGGAGAGUUUUUAUUUCUUCCCCUCCAUCUGCAUGUAUUCUUACUGAAACAAUAAUAGAGCAGUGAAGCUACCUAAAUAAAAAAUCCUCCCUAUUGCCAUCACCUUCAAUAGAUAACAUUUUUGCACAACUUCCUUUUACCUCUUUCCCACAACUGUUUUUCACACAGUGGUAAUCAUCGCACAGACAUCCUUUUGCCCCAUUGCUUUUUCCUUUAUUACAGCAUGCUAAACAAAGCGACUUGUUGCUAUGGUGUUUCCACAAUGUUCAUUUUAAUAGCUACAUAAUAUUUUAUUCAAGGAACACACCAUAAAUUAUUGAACCGUUUCUCUGUUGUUUUCUCAGUGAAGUUCCCACUUUGCAAUAAAAUAUUCAUGUAAAUAUAUAUAAUAAUUCACUCCAUUUGUACUAUGCCUUUCAGUACUUGGCUCAUGCAUAUGUCGUUUUACAGUUCGAUAGAAUUUGGAAGGUUUGGGGACACUUGGGAGUUUCUGGAAGAAAAGAUCACAGCAGACCAGCAUGGAAGGCCCAUCUGAUGUUGUAAAAAGCUGCAUAAGUGCUUUUUAGGACCUGAAGUGCAGAAUUUGAGUCACUUAUUUCAGGUUCUGCUACUAAUUGCUCACGGUGUACUUAAAAUUGGAACAUUGGAUUUUUCAAAGUACGGUAGUAAGCAAAGAAAGAACAGGG